rnacentral:lncRNA from 1 species
CCAGAUUGGGGGAGUCUUCUCUUGACCGUUGGACACGAUCUUGAGCAUUGUUAGUGGUCUUGUUCAAUAUGUUCAUGGACAUGAACUCAUCCAACAUAUCGCUUGAGGACAAGGAGUGUAAGUCCGGCCUUUGACAGAUGACAGAGGACAUGGACUUGUUGAAAGGCAUGAUAGCCUUGAGAAACUUAUGACUGAUCCAGUUGUCAUCCACAUCCUUGCUUCCAUCAUCUUGAAGAGCAACGACAAGCGUUAUCACUCUUCGGUAG